GACGAACGCUGGCGGCGUGCUUAACACAUGCAAGUCGAGCGGUAAGGCUCCUUCGGGAGUACACGAGCGGCGAACGGGUGAGUAACACGUGAGUAAUCUGCCCUUCACUUCGGGAUAACCACCGGAAACGGUGGCUAAUACCGAAUACGACCAGUCUUCGCAUGAGGUGCUGGUGGAAAGUCUUUUCGGUGAAGGAUGUGCUCGCGGCCUAUCAGCUUGUUGGUGGGGUAAUGGCCUACCAAGGCUUCGACGGGUAGCCGGCCUGAGAGGGUGACCGGCCACACUGGGACUGAGACACGGCCCAGACUCCUACGGGAGGCAGCAGUGGGGAAUAUUGGACAAUGGGCGAAAGCUUGAUCCAGCAACGCCGCGUGAGGGAUGACGGCCUUCGGGUUGUAAACCUCGUUCAGUACCGACGAAGCGCCCUGUCGGGUGGUGACGGUAGGUACAGAAGAAGGACCGGCCAACUACGUG
rnacentral:rRNA from 1 species